rnacentral:rRNA from 1 species
AAUGAACGCUGGCGGCAUGCCUAACACAUGCAAGUCGAACGGGAGCAUCGGGGUUGCUGGCGCACGCGGGCGUAACCCGGGGGAACCUGCCCUUAGGUUUGGCAUAACUCCCCGAAAGGGGUGCUAAUACCGGAGAAUGUCUUCCGAACAACGUGUGAUCGCCUUUGGAUGGGCCCUCGUUGGAUUACCUAGUUGGUAGGGUAAAAGCCUACCAAGGCGACGUUCGAUAGCUGGUUUGGGAGGAUGAGCACCCACACUGGGACUAAGACACGGCCCAGACUCCUACAGGAGGCAGCAGUGGGGAAUAUUGGACAGUGGGGGAAAGCCUGAUCCACCACUGCCGCGUGAGUGAUGAAGGCUUUAGGGUUGUAAAGCUCUUUUACCCGGGAUGAUUAUGACGGUACCGGGAGAAUAAGCUCCGGCUAACUCCGUG